rnacentral:rRNA from 1 species
CAAGUCGAACGAUGAACCUUAGCUUGCUAGGGGGAUUAGUGGCGAACGGGUGAGUAAUAUAUCGGAACGUACCUUGUAAUGGGGGAUAACUAGUCGAAAGAUUAGCUAAUACCGCAUACGCCCUGAGGGGGAAAGUAGGGGAUCUUCGGACCUUACGUUAUAAGAGCGGCCGAUAUCUGAUUAGCUAGUCGGUGGGGUAAUGGCCUACCAAGGCGACGAUCAGUAGCUGGUCUGAGAGGACGACCAGCCACACUGGAACUGAGACACGGUCCAGACUCCUACGGGAGGCAGCAGUGGGGAAUUUUGGACAAUGGGCGAAAGCCUGAUCCAGCCAUUCCGCGUGAGUGAAGAAGGCCUUCGGGUUGUAAAGCUCUUUCGCAAGGGAAGAAAACUUACAUUCUAAUAAAGUGUGAGGCUGACGGUACCUUGAUAAGAAGCACCGGCUAACUACGUGCCAGCAGCCGCGGUAAUACGUAGGGUGCGAGCGUUAAUCGGAAUUACUGGGCGUAAAGCGUGCGCAGGCGGUUUUGUAAGUCAGAUGUGAAAUCCCCGAGCUCAACUUGGGAACUGCGUUUGAAACUACAAGACUAGAAUAUGUCAGAGGGGGGUAGAAUUCCACGUGUAGCAGUGAAAUGCGUAGAGAUGUGGAGGAAUACCAAUGGCGAAGGCAGCCCCCUGGGAUAAUAUUGACGCUCAUGCACGAAAGCGUGGGGAGCAAACAGGAUUAGAUACCCUGGUAGUCCACGCCCUAAACGAUGUCUACUAGUUGUUGGUGGAGUAAAAUCCAUGAGUAACGCAGCUAACGCGUGAAGUAGACCGCCUGGGGAGUACGGUCGCAAGAUUAAAACUCAAAGGAAUUGACGG